AACCCAUGAUGUCGGCAUAACCUAAAAAGGUCCUUGAAUUGUUCAUGUGCCUCAAACAAUAUUUUAGCCUCUCCUUGCUUAAAUGCUGAGAUCUCCUAUCUGAUCUU